UACGGGGGAGCAAGCGUUGUUCGGAUUUACUGGGCGUAAAGGGCGCGUAGGCGGUCAGCACAAGUCAGUUGUGAAAUCUCCGGGCUUAACCCGGAACGGUCAGAUGAUACUGCUUGCUAGAGUGCGGAAGGGGACAAUCGGAAUUCUUGGUGUAGCGGUGAAAAUGCGUAGAUAUCAAGAGGAACACCUGAGGUGAAGACGGGUUGCUGGGCCGACACUGACGCUGAUAGCGCGAAAGCCAGGGGAGCAAAACGGG
rnacentral:rRNA from 1 species